rnacentral:tRNA from 1 species
GGGCUCAUAGCUCAGUUGGUUAGAGCGUUUCCUUGACAUGGAAGAGGCCGGAGGUUCGAGUCCUCCUGGGCCCACCA